ensembl:lncRNA
AUAGAAGACAGCGCGCUAGCGUAUCUAGUGUAUGUAUAGCUAUGGUCGGCACGUCUGGUAGCAUCUCUGGCUGCUGUUGAUCUUGUUUUUGGAGUAAAACAGGUGGAAGCUGAAUUAGUGAGGAUGACUCCUGCUCCUGUCAUCUCUAAGCUCCUCACACAUCUUUACCUGCACAUGAGGAAAAUCACUCCUGUAGAAUGCAGAUGUUCAGAGGGAGAUGAUGCCACAUCUGGUCCAGCCGAUGGAAGGUCUUGAAGUUCUCUGACUGGCCUCGACUGAAGAUGGUCGUCUCACUGGAUUUAAGAUGCACAAUGAGGGACGUCUGCAGAGACUGAGAAAGAGUCUCACCACAUCCUGACAUGAGGAAAAAGACUUUAUUGAAGACUACAAUGAGAAAAACUAUCAGACAGCAGACGGCUGCAUUCAAGUCUGUAGCUGCUGAAUUCAUGGAUGAAUCAUCUGGCACUAGAGAGGAAGACCAUCAAACAUCCACGUCAGCUGAUGGAGGUCCAAGAGUCUCACCCAACAAACAACCUACAGAGUGAAGACCUCAAAUCUGAUUGGACGGCCUCCUAUUCAGCCACGUGUGAACAAAUGCCUCUAAGCUGAUUUGUUUUCUAAAAUAAAUCUAGUUUGAGUCCUAAUCUAUGCCUGUGUGUUUGCUUCUUUACACCGCUGUUAACAGUUUAGGCUGUUAGAUUGUUCCAGAUAAGACAAGAUUCUUCAGAGCUGUUCUACCACGAGCCUGACAGGAAGAACUCCAACAGCUACUGAAUGUUCCUGUGGUCCCCUCAAG